AGUGAACGCUGGCGGUAGGCCUAACACAUGCAAGUCGAACGGCAGCACAGUAAGAGCUUGCUCUUACGGGUGGCGAGUGGCGGACGGGUGAGGAAUACAUCGGAAUCUACUUUUUCGUGGGGGAUAACGUAGGGAAACUUACGCUAAUACCGCAUACGACCUACGGGUGAAAGCAGGGGAUCUUCGGACCUUGCGCGAUUGAAUGAGCCGAUGUCGGAUUAGCUAGUUGGCGGGGUAAAGGCCCACCAAGGCGACGAUCCGUAGCUGGUCUGGGAGGAUGAUCGCCCACACUGGAAGUGGAACAGGGACACGACUCCUGCGGGAGGCAGCAGUGGGGAAUGUUGGGCAGCGGGCGGGAGCAUGAUACAGCCAUAGCGCGUGGGUGAAGACGGCCUUCGGGUUGUAAUGACCUUUUGCUGGGAAAGAAAAGCAGCUGGUUAAUACGCAGCGGUUCUGACGGUACCCAAAGAAUAAGCACCGGCUAACUUCGUG
rnacentral:rRNA from 1 species